rnacentral:lncRNA from 1 species
AUCAACCGCUAAUAACGAACAAGGGUUCUCAAUGAUCAUCUUAAAGUAAGCAUGUUUGAUUCAUUUUCCCAAAAAGUAACACAGAACAAAUUUGCAGGUAUUGGAUAAUGUAUGGGCAGACGAACUACAAGCAAAUCUCCUCACCAAAACCCUUACUGUCUCACCAAAUUUACUAGAAACGGUUUUCCACAAAGUCUCUGUUUCAUCAACGCAAGUGUCAACACUUAUUAAAGUAGUGCAUCAGAUCGUAGAAAAUUCAAAAUGUUAUGGAAACAGCCUUCGGUUAGAAAACUACCCAGAAGUAACUCUGAAGUUGUGUUUACCUCAAUGCCUAUGCAGCUCAAUUAAGAACUCCCUCGACAGUAGUGAUACCAUGUUAUGCUAUGCAACUGUAAAUUUUCUCAUCGCUUGUAUGAAGAAGUUAAAUGAAUACAUAAAGUUACAUUCCAACCGACAUGGAACUCGUAACAUCAACAAACACGUUACCAAUUACAUUCAGAAGGUAAGUAAAAGUAGUCAUACUCGAUAAACUUUUGUCAGUCAAACUGCAGAGAGGCGUUUCUCAGUUUGCGAAGUUGUAGACUUGGUGUCAUACUUUAUUUUUUAAAUGGAAAACUACGUAACGUCAUAUCCUAAAAACUUUCGUGAUUUUCUUUUCUGUGUGUGAAGAAUAUGCAGAGGAAAUUUCUAGCCAUGAUGUUGGUUUGUUCUUCUUCAAAAAAAUAAAAUAGGAGCUUGGAUUUUGAAACACUGAAAAGAAGACGGCAUUUUUGCAGUUUCACUGUUGCUUUGCCUCAGACUGUUUGUAAACCACCAAAUAUGGAGUGCCUUUGGUUCCUAAUUUGAAUAGUCUUAAGAACAUGAAGUUUUCUCUUGAAAAUCAUCAAUUAAUUGUAGGCAAAAUUGAAGUCAAAUGAAAUUUUUAAUUGCUGGAUUUCAUGAAACCUUUACAAUAUUUUCCCCAAUACAGGUAUGAUGCAUGAAAAAGUAGGAUGAAACUUUUAAAAAAUUUCAAUUUCAGUCAUUUUUAGUGAAAUUUGUGCUAGAGGGUACUUCUGUGAAAUUCUUGAACAUCAGGGUUUCC